GGGAUCGUAGCUCAGUCUGGGAGAGCACGCGACUGAAGAUCGCGGAGUCGUGGGUUCAAAUCCCACCGAUCCCA
rnacentral:tRNA from 1 species